rnacentral:sRNA from 1 species
AGUCAGAAGGUGCAUUCUUACUGCGAUCUUUUUAUUUGCUACCUUGGGCUUGAGGAGCCUGCCUGUAUCUACCGAGGAGAAUGCAGUUGAAGCUAAUUUUAUUUUAUUUGUGGAUAGAGAAACUGUUGGAACUGCUUUACAAAGUGUUUUAACGGCCCACCUGAGGAUAUCGACCCUAAGGACUCAUAUCUCAUUACAAGAAGCAUCAUGGCCGAGCCAGACUACAUAGAAGAUGACAAUCCUGAACUUAUUAGGCCUCAGAAACUGAUCAAUCCUGUCAAAACCUCCCGGAACCAUCAAGAUCUUCACAGAGAACUUCUUAUGAAUCAAAAAAGAACCGGGUUACCCCUCCGUGAGGCAGAUGCCCUGCAGGUGGCCAUCACUGUGGUGGCCAGCAGUGCUUCCAGACUCCUGCAGUUGCGGGUUCCCUUCUGAAAUGGAUGUGUAUUUCCAAAUUCGGAUGGAAGAGGCUGGAUUAAGGAUAGCAGAGAAUGUCCUAAGUAGAAGAGAAAUAUGUUCUUAAAUUUAAAAUCUCUGAAUUUUCUCCUUACACUGGGGAAGGUGUAG